rnacentral:rRNA from 1 species
UAGGGAAUAUUGGUCAAUGGAGGCAACUCUGAACCAGCCAUGCCGCGUGCAGGAUGACUGCCCUAUGGGUUGUAAACUGCUUUUUUAAGGGAAUAAAACGCUCUUGCGAGAGUAACUGAAGGUACCUUAAGAAUAAGCCUCGGCUAACUACGUGCCAGCAGCCGCGGUAAUACGUAGGAGGCAAGCGUUGUCCGGAUUUAUUGGGUUUAAAGGGUGCGUAGGCGGCCUAAUAAGUCAGUGGUGAAAGCCG